AGAAAGCAUGAACCUGUUCAGAGAUGCACUAUGGAUGCCAAUCUUAGAGCUCUCAAUGUGUUUAUUGUAUAAAAAGUGUGCAUUUGUAUUGGGGGGAUAGAAUUCCUAGACUGACAGAUACUACUACCCCUCAGUGGUUGGGGUCUAAAAGAGCUAACAUAAUCUGAAAGCUUUUCAGUCUCUCCAAAGAUGGUGAUGUUGACUAAUAUGUUGUCAAAAAAAAAUCCAUAAACAAAGAAGGUAGGAGGUCCAGGAUCAAAGCACCCAAGAUUCAGUGGCCUGUGAUUCUGUGCAUUCUACAACACAAAAUCUGAUGAAUUCCUUAGAAACACUAGGGAAAAUGAGGAGGAGGCUGCAUAAUAUGCUAAAACUUUGGCCAAGAGAAUGAAGGCAGCCAAAGACAAACGCCAGGAACAGAUUGCCAAGAGAUGUAGGCAGUCCUCGAGGAAAGCUGAUGCUUCUAAGUCC
rnacentral:lncRNA from 1 species